GGCAACAAUGUUGUAGCUACUACCACCACACAACAAUUUAGCAAAUCAAAGUUAACUAUACAAUUGGUUUGAAAUGCCUUUGAUUGUCAAAGAUUACACAUGGACACAGACAGAAACGAUUGUUUACAUAAAUGUACCAUUAAAAGGAGUAAAGGUUGGGAAAGUAGACAUAUUUUCAACAGACGAAUAUCUGAAGAUGACAAAGACAAAUUGAGAGAGAUCAGGGAUAGAGCACUCCUGAAAGGCCAGAUAAAGCUUGCUGCUGAGUCGAAAGCCAAAGCUACAAAAACACAAGAAGAAAGGAAAUAUGCACUGGAGACCAUGAUGAUGCUUGAAGAAGGGGGAGAGCCAGGAUCCAGAAAAUGAAGGAUGAUGAAUAUGAGAAAGCAACAGCAGAGUUGGAGGCAUGGAAACUGAAGCAGGGGCAAAUAGCCCAACUAAAGCUAAAAAGUCAGAGAAUCAAGGUUGACAAACAAAGCAAAUCGGAAAAGAUACAUGUACCCAGAACAUCAGACCGAUGCAAGGUCAAGCAUGAUCAGAAAAACAGUGUUCAAUCAAUCAGCAAGAAAAAACAGGUGAAUUUGCCAGCUCCAAGAUCCACAGGCAACAUUCAAAUCAAGUUCACACCACGAGUGUUUCCCACGGCCCUACGAGAAUCAAGAGUACCAGAGGAGGAAGAGUGGCUUCAGAAGCAGGCAGAGGCCAGAAGGGCAAUACAUGCAGACCUGGCAGAGCUGAAGGACCUGACAGAAGAAGAGAGGAACCCUGACUGGUUAAAGGAGACAAAUUGUUUGCAACAGGUAACUACUUGGCUGCGAUCAAUGCUUACAGCCUUGCCAUGAAGCUUAACAGAAAGAUUCCUGCCAUAUAUUCAAACCGUGCUCCUUGUCACUUGAAACUAAGGAAUCUUCAUAAAGCCAUUGAGGAUUCCUCUUGGGCACUUGAUCUGUUGACGCCACCCGUGGCUGGCAAUGCAGGUGCCAGGACAAGAGCCCAUGUAAGACGAGGCACAGCUUUUUGUGAACUGGAGUUCUAUACUGAAGAUUUAAACAAAGUUCCACAUUGGGCUCCGUAGUGGCGCAGCGGUCUAAGGCACUACAUCUCAGUGCUAGGGGUGUCACAACAGACACCCUGGUUCGA